rnacentral:lncRNA from 1 species
UUAGAAUGAACAGUGCAGUAGCAAUAAAUGCGAGAAUAUUGACUUCCAUAACCUCUUUAUUUUUUAUUUUCACAAUAACUCGGGAUGUAAUCCCAUGGAGAGGAAAAAGGGGUAUCUUGUAAAUUCAAGGGUAGGGCUUGCAUUCUGAUAAUACUGAAUCAAUUCAAUAUUAUGAAUAUCGGAUCUAUCAAAUCAAUUCAUGGAUGAGAGUUAUAUAGUAUAACAUAGGAAGAUCCUAUAUCCAUACUAAGACCAAAAUGGGUUUUUUGAUUGGAUUAGGAAUUCCCUCUUUUUUAAUCCUUUUUUUUCUACUUUUUCUUUUCUAUAUCUCUAACCCACGAGCUUUCUUAAUCUUAUACAAUUUCUCUUCCUUUUUCUUAUAGUUAUACAUACAAUUAUGUAUGUAUUAUAUGAGCAACUUUCUAUGGGUCACAUAGACAUCCAAAUAAGCAGUAGAAGUGAGAUGGGGAAAAGAGGUCUGAAAUAAAAAGGGAAUACAAUUUAUGUAUGGAUUCCGGUAAAAUACCGGUACUCUAUUCCAUAACAGUGGAAUAGGAAAUUAAGAUGAGGAUGGUAUCAUCAUAAAGAAAGAUAGAGUAAUAUCCUAAAAUUCUACUAAUCCACAUAUCGUAUGUGUGUCUUUCUUUAUCUUUAUCGAUCGGGAGUAGUGAAAAAAAUUCCUAUACUCCUUCCCUCCCUCUUUAAUGAGAGAUGCAAAAUAAAAAAGUGAAGUAAGGGUGCCCUAUGGGUAUUUGAUCUUGCUCCCUGCCCCUUUUUUUUCAUGGAAAAAGGAAAUAUGAAUUUCUCCAUUCAUUGAACCCUAGUUCGGGACUGACGGGGCUCGAACCCGCAGCUUCCGCCUUGACAGGGCGGUGCUCUGACCAAUUGAACUACAAUCCCCGCGGGGUGUAUGGCAUACCCAUUCUUAAAUAGAACCAUAAGAAGAUUCGAUUCGUCUGUCGUACUCUAAGAAAUAGACGAAUCAUAUACUACAUACCCACAUAUUAAUAUUAUAUUAUACGUGGGUAUAGUGAGAGUGACAUAACUAGUAUGUCGUGAUUUUUUAUCACUAAAAAUGGAUAAUAAUCCACCCUUCAACAAGAAAAACUCUUUUGUUUGUAAGAAAGGAAUGAGAGAGAUAUGGAUUAGAAAAAAAAAUCCCCUUUUUUAUUUCUCUUUUAUUUCUAUAGAUCAGACAUUUUAUUUUAUGGGAGAAAAACAAAAGGAUUUAGUUCAUAUUCACGAAGCCCUAGAUUUUUGGGCCGAGCUGGAUUUGAACCAGCGUAGACAUUGUCAACGAAUUUACAGUCCGUCCCCAUUAACCACUCGGGCAUCGACCCAGGAAGAAUUUAUUCUAGGGUUUUUGCUAAUCUAUGAUUAACCUCCUUUCAUAAUACUCCCUACCCCCAGGGGAAGUCGAAUCCCCGCUGCCUCCUUGAAAGAGAGAUGUCCUGAACCACUAGACGAUAGGGGCAUCACUAGACGAUAGGGCCAUAUACAACCGCUCGUGAUUAUACUAUAAUCAUAGUAUGAGCAGUUUUUUUGAAUUGUCAAUAUACUCGAAAAGUAUAACUAGAUCCAAAGCAAAGAGUUUUUCUAACUUUUCUGCUAUGUUUUCAUCUAGGAUUUUUUUAGUUGAUGGUUAGAUUAAUUCAUGGAUCAUCCUCUACCUUUUAGGGAAAUUCAUUUUAAAUGUAUAGAAUAAGAAUGGAUUACUAAAAGGGAUUCUAGAUUAGUUCAGUACAGGUAGUUAUUUUAUUGAUCUAAGAUAAGAUGAAAAAGAGUCCAAUUUUUUUUUUAUUUCCAUUCCGUGCUUCAUUUAGUGUUCAGACCAAAAAUGCAUUCAUCCCGCACUAAGUCAUAAAAUUCUCUAAAGAGAAAGCUUCAAAAACAAAGAAAAAAGCGAAUCAAUUUAGUAGAAAAGUACUCUAUCAGAUUCGAACCAAUGACUUACGUCUUAGCACGAGAUUACUCUACCACUAAUUUAAAAAGCCCUUUAUCGGAUUUGAACCGAUGACUUAUGCCUUACCAUGGCAUUACUCUACCACUGAGUUAAAAGGGCUUUUUAUUUAAUUCAAAAAUUUGCCACUUUGAUUUCCCAUUAUGGGUCUACUGCAUAAUGUACAUAUUAUAUAUAUAUAAUAUAUAGAGAUAUAGAGAGAGACAUUAUGUAUAGAUUGUAUAUGUAUUGAUAUCUUGAGAGCUCAAAAUAAAAUUAAGAAAAAAAAACAUACCCAACUCUUCUUGGUUCAUGGUUUUCCGUUUCCGAAGGCUAGUAAAAUAGGCGGAUUCUGGAACCCCAAGGAUUCAAUGGUAUAUGGAAAAUAUAAGAUUUCCAAUCCUAGCGGGAAAAGGCAGGGAACAGAUACCCAAUAGGAUAGGAUCCUUGGGAGGAACUUUUGGUAAUGGCCUUGAUCCUCUAUGCUAUUUUUUAUGUGUUCUUAGUUCUAUUGAACUUUUUUGAUUCUUUUAAACAAGAAUCUAAUAAACUAGCAUUGAGUCAGUGGAAAAAAGGAGAGAGAGGAAAGUGUUAAAUGGAGAGAGUCGACUAAUCAUAGACUUUUAGGAUCUUCUUUACAUCAGGUAAAUCUGUCAGCCCUGUCCGUUUUUUUCUUUAAGUUACGACUCUUUAAGUUACAACUCUUUGCUUCUUACUUCUAUCAAGCCAUAGGGAAAGUCUAUGAUGAAUUUGGAAAACUCAUCUCACUCUUACUCUAUGGCUCGGACUUAAUGGGGGAAGAAAACAUCUUCUAUAAUUUCUUUUUUGUUCAAUUCUGGACAAAAAAGAAAAGGAAAAAAGGAAUUUAUAGGGACAGUGUUACCCCCUAUAUCCCCUAGUUUAUAUUGUAGGAAUAAUAAAACAAUUUAGCAGUCUGGCACACUUACGUCCUCGCAAAGUAAAUAAUGAUUAUUGUAGUCGUAACCGUAGAAUAGGAUAGGAUCCUAAUCAAAAUAAAUACAUUUGGUUCAGGCGCUAUUAGCAGGGUAAGAAGAGAUUUAUUUUACAGACCAGAGGGAGAGGGGCUAUCUAAAUCCUAAAGUAAAGGCGCGCGAUCGAAGUAGAAGUACCAAUGGCUCAGUGUCAUGAACCUUCUCCAUCUGAUUCAAUAAGGGGGAAUUAGCCUCCUUGUCAAAUGGCUAUCCUUGACAAAGGGUACCAUUUAUACCAUAAUAUACAAUGUAGCGGGUAUAGUUUAGUGGUAAAAGUGUGAUUCGUUCUAUUAAUAACUGAAUUUGAAAUGAUAUACUUAAGGCAUCCUUAAGUUUUUUUUUAUAUUCCGAUGAAAACUUUAGUUCUUAUAAAGGAUUAAAUCCUUUUCCUCUCAAUAGCAUAUUGAGGAAGAAUAUACAUUCUGGCGAUUUGUACCCAAAAACUAAUUUAAAUUGCAUCCAAAAUAAAAAUUGGAUUAUGAUAUGAGUACAGAGUCGCGAAGCAUAAUUUUGCAUUGGAUUUAAGUAUUCCAAUUUUGAAAAUAUGAGUAAAGGAUCUAUGGAUGAAGAUACAAAAAAGUUGAUUUCCAAUCGUAACUAAAUCUUCUUUUGUUAAAGGAUAAGGAAGCCAAAUAGCUAAAAAACGAUAGUUUUGGUUUACUAGAACCAUCCGCAUAUUGUUUCAGCUCGGUGGAAACCCAAUUCUUUUCCUCAGGAUCUCUUGAAUGAAAUUAGGGAACGAAGUAAGUAGAUUAGAUGGAUUUAGAUAGAAUUUCUAUCUCCUACUCUAUAAGGAUCAUCUAGAAAGCAGAGAGCUUUGGUUCCAUUCAAAUAGAAAAGCUGACAUAGAUGUUAAGUGGUGAGAAUAUCCAUAAAGGAGCCGAAUGAAAUCAAAAUUUCAUGUUCGGUUUUGAAUUAGAGACGUUAAAAAUAAUCAACCAACGUCGACUAUAACCCCUAGCCUUCCAAGCUAACGAUGCGGGUUCGAUUCCCGCUACCCGCUNNNNNNNNNNNNNNNNNNNNNNNNNNNNNNNNNNNNNNNNNNNNNNNNNNNNNNNNNNNNNNNNNNNNNNNNNNNNNNNNNNNNNNNNNNNNNNNNNNNNNNNNNNNNNNNNNNNNNNNNNNNNNNNNNNNNNNNNNNNNNNNNNNNNNNNACGGGUUCGAUUCCCGUCUCCGCACUUAGCAGUCUCUAUAAAAGGAGUAUUCUAUUUGUCUAGACAUGUUAAAGGCUUGUAUUCAAGCCUUUUUUGUCCACCAGUUUCUGGUACUACAGAGCGGAGUAGAGCAGUUUGGUAGCUCACGAGGCUCAUAACCUUGAGGUCACGGGUUCGAUUCCCGUCUCCGCACUUAGCAGUCUCUAUAAAAGGAGUAUUCUAUUUCUCUAGAUAUGGUAGAGGGGCGUAUCCAACCCUUUUUUAUUCAUUAGUUCCGGGCCCUAGAGGGCAAAAUUGAGCAAUUUGCGAAGCCACUUGCCUUCACAAAAAGAAGGCGCAAGGCUUCUCCCUACCUUGCAGAAAAUAAAAAUGAAAUGAAAGGGACAGUCUACCUCUCCCUUCCUUUUAAAAACAGUUUGCCCGUUGUUUGUCUCAGUUAAUACCCAAUUUUGGGGCUCUGUUGGCUAGUUCUAUUUCUGCCUCCGGAGCGCCCUCUUUUUUUGAGGGGGAUGCAAAGGAAGGGUAAAUAUAGUAAGGGAUACGGCACUAGACUAAUACUUAAUUAAUACUUAAUUUAAUAUAAGUAGUUAAACAAUUAACUAGACUAAACUUUUUAUCAUAGUACUUUGAUAAAUUAAGCGGGCGAGCGGCGGGAAUCGAACCCGUAUCUUCUCCUUGGCAAGGAGAUGUUUUACCAUUGAACUACGCUCGCUACGGUAUAUAUUUUAUAGCGUAUAUCCGCUUGGGUCGACCGUCUAUGUCUGGGUCGACCGUUUCAUUUCAUUUUCUAUUCUAUUAUAUUAGAUAUUAGAGUUUUCCUUUUUUUAUUAUCUGUCAAUGAAUAUUCUAAUGGGAAUUUCAUAAUACUGAAAGAGAAGAGCUAGCAAUUCGGAACGCAAAUUGCGUUUUAAUACGUCUCACUAUUCGAAUUUUUUAAAUGGCCUUUAUUAUUUCUUUUUUAUGGGGUUACUAAAUAUUAACCAAAUUUAAUUUAAGAAAUGAGAGAAUUCAGAAUAGCUACGAGAAAGACUAGUCCAAUCCAUAAUGAUGUACCGGAAAAUACAACAUUUUUAUUAUUUGACCAACCAUCAGGAGAAGCAAAUACAAGGGGUACACUAAUUACUAAGACUGAGGAAGUCGCAAUUAAUGCAAAAACAGCUAAUUGGAAAGCAAUAGUCAUAUUUCUAAUCCUCCAAGCUACCAUCAAAUAAAGUUGACUACAUAUUUGAUCCCUCACUUAACCAAAAUUGUAAAAAAAUACAAGAAGUAGGAGGGGUUUAAUCAUGAAUCCAUUGAUUCUUCUCUUUAAUUAAAAUUUAUUACUUAACCUCUUUUUUAUUUGGAUAUGGGGGUGAGAGGAGGUUAUUUAGUCUUUAUUUCACAAGCGGGUAUAGCGGAUCCUGUAUCCGUGUAUACAGUAUACAGAGAUAUAUCGAAAAGGAACUUGUAUCUGAUAUCUUUCUAGAGGUUAAUAAAUAUUUUUAUUUUUUAUAUGGCUAUGUUCUAUUUGUAGGAGUAAAAUAAGGAUUAGGCGGUGGAGAGAUGGCUGAGUGGUUGAUAGCUCCGGUCUUGAAAACCGGUAUAGUUCUAGGAACUAUCGAGGGUUCGAAUCCCUCUCUCUCCUUUUGCUUAUUGAAUACGUUUGUUUCUUUCAUUUUUUUUUAUUCUGUCCCUUAUCUUUCUUUCAUAAAAAGGAAUGAAUGGCUCGGCUAGAUAGAAUAACCGAGCCAGAACAGAAAAAAAGUAGAACAGGUAUAAAUAAGAAAAUCUUAGUUAAGAGGGUUCAUGUAAAGAACAGGUUCCAAAUCACGAUCGAUUCCCUUUUCAAAACCUGCUGCAGCAGCUCGGGCUCUUCCUGCAUGCCAUAAAUGGCCCACAAAAAAGAAGAAUCCUAGAACAAAAUGAGAAGUUGAUAACCAACUUCUAGGAGAGACAUAAUUAACUGCAUUGAUCUCGGUCGCUACGCCACCCACGGAAUUUAAAGAGCCUAAAGGAGCGUGGGUCAUAUAUUCUGCUGAGCGCCGUUCUUGCCAAGGUUGUAUGUCUUUUUUCAACCUACUCAAGUCCAAACCGUUGGGGCCCCUUAGAGGUUCUAACCAUGGAGCACGAAGGUCCCAAAAACGCAUAGUUUCCCCUCCAAAGAUAACCUCCCCAGUUGGGGAACGCAUUAGAUAUUUCCCUAAACCUGUGGGUCCUUGAGCGGAUCCCACAUUAGCUCCAAGACGCUGGUCUCUAACUAGAAAAGUAAAUGCUUGAGCUUGAGAAGCUUCUGGCCCGGUGGGUCCAUAAAACUCACUCGGAUAAGCUGUAUUAUUGAACCAUACAAAACAACAAGCGAUAAAACCAAAGACAGAUAAAGCAGCUAAACUAUAAGACAAGUAAGCUUCUCCAGACCAUACAAAUGCACGGCGAGCCCAUGCGAAGGGUUUGGUUAAAAUAUGCCAAAUUCCCCCAAAUACACAAAUAAAACCCAACCAUACAUGUCCACCAAUUAUAUCUUCUAAAUCAUCUACACUAACAAUCCACCCUUCUCCCCCAAAAGGAGAUUUUAGUAAAUAACCAAAUAUAACACUGGGACUAAGGGUCAAAUUGGUAAUUUUUCUUACAUCUCCCCCCCCAGGGGCCCAGGUAUCAUAUACACCGCCAAAAUAAAGAGCCUUGAGUACUAGAAGAAAAGCACCUAGACCUAACAAAAUUAAGUGAAUACCCAAAAUUGUAGUCAUUUUAUUUCUAUCUUUCCAGACAUAACCAAAGAAUGGAAAAGAUUCUUCAAGAGUCUCGGGUCCCAGAAGCGCGUGAUAAAUGCCACCGAAGCCUAAGACUGCGGAGGAAAUUAGGUGAAGUACGCCAGAUACAAAGUAUGGAAAAGUAUCUAGAACUUCCCCCCCUGGCCCUACUCCCCAACCUAGAGUAGCUAAGUGUGGAAGUAAAAUCAACCCUUGUUCAUACAUGGGCUUUUCUGGUACGAAAUGGGCCACUUCAAAUAGGUUCAUUGCUCCGGCCCAGAAUACGAUUAAUCCGGCAUGGGCUACGUGAGCUCCAAGUAGUUUACCGGACAAAUUGAUAAGUCUGGCAUUCCCAGCCCACCAAGCAAAGCCGGUGGUUUCUUGGUCACGACCAGCUAAAACGAAAGUUCCAUUAAAGAGCGUUUCCACGUGGUAGAACCUCCUCAGGGAAUAUAAGAUUUUCAUGAGGCUGAUCCUGAGCUGCCAUCCACGCACGAAUACCCUCGUUUAAAAGAAUAUUUUUGGUGUAGAAAGUCUCGAAUUCAGGAUCUUCCGCUGCACGGAUUUCCUGGGAAACAAAGUCAUAGGCACGUAAGUUCAGAGCCAAGCCAACUACGCCAAUAGCACUCAUCCAUAAACCGGUGACGGGUACAAAUAGCAUAAAGAAAUGUAACCAACGUUUAUUGGAAAAAGCAACACCAAAGAUUUGGGACCAAAAGCGGUUAGCAGUGACCAUUGAAUAAGUUUCUUCAGCUUGAGUUGGGUUAAAAGCACGGAAGGUAUUUGCACCAUCACCGUCCUCAAAUAGAGUGUUUUCUACGGUUGCUCCAUGAAUAGCGCAUAGCAGAGCCGCGCCUAAUACUCCGGCAACUCCCAUCAUAUGAAAUGGGUUCAACGUCCAAUUAUGAAAUCCUUGGAAGAAAAGGAUGAAUCGAAAUAUCGCUGCUACGCCAAAACUCGGCGCAAAGAACCAACCAGAUUGCCCCAGUGGAUAAAUAAGGAAUACCGAAACAAAAACAGCAAUUGGACCAGAGAAUGAGAUUGCAUUAUAAGGCCGCAAUUGAACAGACCGAGCAAGUUCAAAUUGGCGUAACAUGAAACCUAUUAGUGCAAAAGCCCCGUGGAGAGCUACAAAAGUCCAUAGACCGCCUAAUUGACACCAACGAGUAAAAUCUCCUUGUGCUUCUGGCCCCCAUAGUAGCAACAAAGAGUGUGCUAAACUAUUGGCAGGGGUAGAAACUGCUGCGGUUAAGAAAUUACAACCUUCCAAAUAGGAACUUGCCAAUCCAUGGGUAUACCAAGAAGUUACAAAAGUUGUCCCUGUAAACCAACCCCCUAAAGCGAAAUAAGCACAAGGAAAGAGCAAUAGGCCAGACCAUCCUACAAAAACGAAACGGUCCCUUCGUAACCAGUCAUCCAUAGUAUCAAAUAGAUCAUUUUCUUCUUUAGGAACUCUACCAAGGGCUAUAGUCAUAGUGAUCCUCCUAUUCAAUUACUUCAACCAUUUCCGAGCACCUCAUAUCACUUUCCAAGGCAUAUGAUAGUUUUAUAUCUGUGGACGAUUUCUUUCUCGUUCAAUGCCCUUUUUCAAUGGUCUCGAAGAGAGAAAUUUUCCAUUUUUAUCUAUGGAGUCACAACCGAGGUCGUUGUAAAUCCAUGAAUUUGAUUCGAUUUGUUUUUCUUAUCUUAUACUUAUAGAAAUAAACCUUUGAAUUCAGCAUUAUUCCAAGACUCCUAUUUCAAAGUCUAUCUUUUAAGGGAAAAAUGAAAAUAAAAGUAACCCCUUUUUUCCCAUUCCCUCUCUAUUGCAUGGGGGGAAGAACUAAAAUGGAGGAUUCUGAAAAAAAAAAGGACCUUCGAAAUCAAUUUUUAUGUGUAGCGCAAAGGAGUUGCGAUUUCUUCUUAUUCCUAUAGAACAUCUAGUAACAAGAAUAUGAAAUCGUAAAUAGCGAAAAAUUCUUGUCUUGCGCGGUCUAAGUCUAAGGAAAUACGAAAAAUUCGCUUAUACAAUUUCAUCUACAUCGAAUUUAUAUAUCAGAAUAGCGGAUAGAGGCAUCAUUCAAGGAGUCAGGUCUACUUACUUUAUGCUUCUUUCCAAUUUUAUGGUGGAUUUGAUAAGAACCCUUUUUGCUUUCUUGAUAAAUAAUCGACAAAAAAAAAAAAAGCGUUUUUUUAUAUAUAGCUUGUUUUAUUAUAAUUAUAACAAGUCCUAUAUGGAAAUGCCCGCUAAAGAGAAAAUCUAUUUGAUUGUCUCUCGGUCAAUAUCGAUUUUUACAAAGAAAAAACAAGAAUUUUCUUCUUUUUUUUAUUAACAUUAAGAAAAAAGAAUAUAACUAAAAUGGAAUUGGCAAUAUAAUUUUUAUAGACUUUUGAAAGAAAAAAAGGGGUUUUUUGCAACCGUUAUUUCUUAUUUCUUGCCUAUAUCAUAUCACGGAAACCUUUCGCUUUGGAACGUGGAGAGAUGGCUGAGUGGACUAAAGCGGCGGAUUGCUAAUCCGUUGUACAAUUUUUUUGUACCGAGGGUUCGAAUCCCUCUCUUUCCGCUCCCUUGGAUCAUUUGGGACUUUCAAACUGGAAAGAAUUCUGACCCCCGGAUUUUCUCAUAGAUAAAUGUACGAAACAAAUCCAAUUUGUAAGAAAAAAAAAAAAUUGAAUUUUUACUCCUCGCGUCCAGGAUUCCGUCCUGGAUCAUUAGAUAAGAAUCCAAAGAUAAAGAGUGAAACAAAGAAUAUCACUACUGUAUAAACAAAAAGUUUGAGAGUAAGCAUUACAUAAUCUCCAAGAUUUUUUUUUAAGGAAUAGAUUACCAGUUUUUCCUUACCACACGGAUCCACUAGGAUGGUUUUUUUUGAUACCUAAAAAUGCAAAAAUGAAUUCUGGAAAAAAAUUGCAAGAAUUCAUUUAUAAUAAGAACUCUUAUCAAUAGCAAAAAUAGGGUUAGGUGGUAUUGAAUAGGUAUUGUGUAGGUACCUAAAGGUACCUGCUCAACCUAGGUGCAGGGGAGUAGAAAGGCUGAUCCAAAUUUAUUGCUGUAGCUACCCAUUCAAUGUAGAAUAAUUUCAAUUUUAGAAUUGAGGGUUCAUAAUAUAAAAAUAUAAAACUUCUCGGCUUUUACCCAUUUUAAUUUUUUUUUUUGGAAUGAACACAUCAUUCAAUUUGGCAUACAGAGUACUAAAGAUUUCAUCGAAAACUUACAGCAGCUUGCCAAACAAAGGCUAAUAGAAAAAAGAAUAGAGGUAUAACAGGCAUAAUAUCCACGAUUGGAUUGAAAAUAGCAUAAGCUUCGGGCAAUUUGGCAAAGAAAAAACUAGUAGGAUAAAGAACAGAAUUAAAACAGAUACAGGUUAAACUAAGUAUAUUAGGCAUAACAAGCAUUUCAUUCUUGUAGAGUAAAUAAUUGGAUUUUGAUUGAGUUAUUUUUUUAAGGGAAAGAAGGAAAAGGCAGAUUCAAAAUCUUUUUUUCUUCGGACUUUCCCAAACACAAAAUACCUCCUUGUAUUCGCACUCUCAAAUGAGAGUGGAAUAAAUUCGACUUUCAUAUAAUAUCUUAAUAGAAUUCCAUGUAAUGAUCAAUGCAUUUUUUUGAUUCUAUAUUAUCUGCAUGUGUAGAAUACUAGCAAGAGAAUAUCUCUUCUUUAUUUAUGUAAUUGAAAUGGUAUUGACGAAUAACAAAUAAACAUAAUAGUGUUUAUUAGUGUCGCAUAAAACCCGAAAUGGGGCGUGGCCAAGUGGUAAGGCAGCGGGUUUUGGUCCCGUUACUCGGAGGUUCGAAUCCUUCCGUCCCAGAUUGUUUCUGAUGAAACAAACGGUGAAAUCAUAUAGUACUCCGUAUGAGACAAAAGUUUAUUAAAGAGAAUAAUGAUAUCUUAUGUUUUCUCAGAAAACAUAAUAAAGUCUUAAGUCCAGUCAAAUUGACUACCUUUAUUUUCAUGAAAAAAAUGGGAUCUAGCAGGCACAUUCAGGAUAUGCCUCUACUAUGAUCACUUAAUAAUCACUUAAUAAUCACUUAAUCAUAUUUUUUUCUUCCUUUUGGUCUUCGAGUCGAAGAAGUACCAAAAACAAUUANNNNNNNNNNNNNNNNNNNNNNNNNNNNNNNNNNNNNNNNNNNNNNNNNNNNNNNNNNNNNNNNNNNNNNNNNNNNNNNNNNNNNNNNNNNNNNNNNNNNNNNNNNNNNNNNNNNNNNNNNNNNNNNNNNNNNNNNNNNNNNNNNNNNNNNNNNNNNNNNNNNNNNNNNNNNNNNNNNNNNNNNNNNNNNNNNNNNNNNNNNNNNNNNNNNNNNNNNNNNNNUAAUUGUUUUUGGUACGGAAAAAAUAUAUUACUAAUAGAAUUCUAAUUCUAGUAAUUAAAUGAAUUAAACUUUUUUGGAGGUUGAUAGUUUAUUUAUUGAGGAAGAGUCAAUCCUUCUCUUCUCACUUCAAGAUUGAUCAUCUCGAGCCAUCCGUUGAGGGUGGAAAUUUAAUAAUAAAUAAGUUUUAAGCAAACUUGUUUAGUCGUCUUUUUCUAUGUUUCAUUCAUAUGAUAGAAUUCGAAUAUGGGUUUAAAUAAAUUGGAUCUUGGCGGAGGCUUCCCGGAUAAAUACUUACUUUCUUUUAUCCAUAUUGCUCCAUAGAUAGCAAGUUUUAAUUUUAAUUAGUAUACAAAAAACAAAACCAAUGACUAUUCAUGAUUCCAUCCAUAUUGGAUCAAUUUUCUAUACCACUUUGCAAUGAAAAGAGGAAUGUUUGUUAUGGUAAAACUUCGUUUAAAACGAUGUGGUAGAAAGCAACGUGCGACUUGAAGGACAUGAUCGAUUGUGGAUUUUGCUAUCCAUCAUUUUCCAUAGUAAUGAAAAUGCUCUUGGCUCGACAUAGCCUGUUCUAUUCGUUCCGAACCAAAUUUGCGCAGGGUUUAAGUAACAUAGUACACGAUGGAGCUCGAGAGGACAGAGUUUAUUUUUUAUCAAGGGAAAGAAUCUAGGGUUAGUGAAAACUAAUAAAUUAGGCCAACUUUGUCAGUCUAUCCUUAAUAUAGAAAUAAAUCGAAAGGUUAAAAUACGAAGAAAGUCCAAUAAAAGUAUAUCAGAAUCAAUCCCCCUUAUUAGAUUUCUAUAGAAGAGAUAAAUGCUUUAUCGAAGGAAAUAAGAAAAAAGGGUAUGUUGCUACUCUUUUGAAAGAAAAAAAUAGGAAUUCCCGAAGUAAUGUCUAAACCCAAGGAUUUCACAAAUCAAAGAUAAAGGAUUCCAGAACAAGUAAACACAAUUUUCAAUUGUCUCAACAACAGAGUUGGAUCAGAAUAAGGAAUAAAAGUCAAUUCGUUCGAAAUGAGACAAAGAAAAGAGUUUAAAGACGACUCAAAAAUUUUUGAAGGAUUUUGCCUUCGAAGUUUCUCAGGCAGAAUUAGCCAACUUGAGUCAUGAGUAUAAAUGAAAUUUGUUUUUUCUGUAAGGAAAUUAAUGGACGUCAUAGUCUAAUUUCUAUUAUUAUCGACAGAAAUUCGAAUCAUUUUCUCGAGCCGUAUGAGGAGAAAACCUCCUAUACGUUUCUAGGGGGGGCGUUGUUUAUCUACAUCUAUCCCAAUAAGCUGUCUAUCGAAUCGUUGCAAUUGAUGUUCGAUCUCGAAGAGAAGGAAGAGAUCUUCGAAAAGUAGGUUUUUAUGAUCCGAUAAAGAAUCAAACUUGUUUAAAUGUUCCAGCUAUUCUCUAUUUCCUUGAAAAGGGUGCUCAACCGACAAGAACUGUUUAUGAUAUUUUAAGGAAGGCGGAAUUCUUUAAAGAAAAAGAAAGAACUUUGAGUUAAUUGAAGAACUAAAUGAAUAAAAAAGUAGGAUAGGAGAAGAUUAUUAGUAUUCCUCGUUGUCUAAUUAUUUAGACACAAUUUACCUCUUUCUUAAUCCUAUUUGGAUUUAUAUCGUGCCAAUCCAACAUAAGCCCCUAUUUUAUUUACUUUUUCUAUCUAAUUUGUUUUCUUACCAUUGUAUUUCCAUUGACAAAGGUCUAUUGAACAAAUAGAAUUUGUAGAUAGAUGGGUCUCUUUAUCCUCACUCCAUAUUUAAUUUUUCUGCUUACACUUCGCUCAAAUGAUAAGGGUGUUCCUCUUGCAUGUAUUCUCAUACAAUAUAAUAUAUAUUUUUUUUAAUAAAAAUCGCUAAAAAAAGGAGAAUUUGGCCAUCGUGAUUAGGGUCGCUCUUUUUUUUCACUUUAGUGGAAUUUAACCGGACCUGUUCGUUUUGCCAUUUGAGUGUUUUUCAUGGUCGAUAAAAUCUUUCUUUUGAUGUCUUGCUAGUUCAAUGUUUUGACAGAAGCGCGCGGUGUAAUUCCAUUGAUUUUUGGAUUUCGAUCGUAUCUAAGAUCCUUUUUUUAUCUGGGUUGCUAACUCAAUGGUAGAGUACUCGGCUUUUAAGUGCGACUAUGAUCUUUUACACAUUUGGAUGAAACAACAAAUUCGUCCAGACUCUUGGUAGAGUCUAGAAGACCACGACUGAUCCUCAAAGGUAAUGAAUGGAAAAAAUAGCAUGUCGUAAUAAAAUCAAUCUUUUUUGAAUGGAAUCCAAAAUUACGAUUUUCUGGGUCUAGUGAAUAAAUGGAUAGAGCCUGGCUCCAAUUCUGGUAAAAUAAAAAGCAACGAGCUUAACUUCCUAAUUGGAAGGAUUCCCCGCUCUAAUUAGACGUUAAAAAUAGAUUAGUGCCGGAUGUGGGGAAAGGUUGGGUUUUCCUAUGAGUGGACCCUUUAUUUUUUCUUUUUUUUUAGAAAUCCUAAUUAUUCUUGAUUAUGGAUUGAAUAAGGGAUGUUAUGGAUUGAAUGUGUAAAAGAAGCAGUAUAUUGAUAAAGAGGCUGUAUUCCAAAGUCAAAAGAGCGAUUGGCCUGCAAAAAUAAAAAACUUGUUCUGUUCUUUUUUGUAAUUUAGAACAAACAUAAACUAAUUCGGUAGAAAAGGAGCGGAAAAAGAUCCGUGGAUUAGACUCCCUUUCUUUCCAGGGUUUGUAUUAAAAAUGCAACACCCUGUUCUGACCAUAUUGCACUAUGUAUCAUCAUUCGAUAAACCGAGAAAUGCUUCUUCUCUCUGAUUCAAGUAGAAAUACAAAUGGAAAAAUUCGAAGGGUAUUCAGAAAAACAGAAAUCUCGUCAACAAUACUUUGUCUACCCACUUCUCUUUCAGGAGUAUAUUUAUGCAUUUGCUCAUGAUUAUGGAUUAAACGGUUCUGAACCUGUGGAAAUAGUUAGUUGGAAUAACAAGAAAUUUAGUUCACUACUUGUGAAACGUUUAAUUAUUCGAAUGUAUCAGCAGAAUUUUUUGGAUAACUCGGUUAAUCAUCCUAAUCAAGAUCGAUUAUUGGAUUACAAAAUUUUUUUUUAUUCUGAGUUUUAUUCUCAGAUUCUAUCUGAGGGGUUUGCGAUUGUUGUGGAAAUCCCAUUCUCGCUACGGGAAUUAUCUUGUCCGAAAGAAAAAGAAAUACCAAAGUUUCAGAAUUUACGCUCUAUUCAUUCAAUAUUUCCCUUUUUAGAAGACAAAUUUUUGCAUUUGGAUUAUCUAUCACAUAUAGAAAUACCCUAUCCUAUCCAUUUGGAAAUCUUGGUUCAACUCCUUCAAUACCGUAUCCAAGAUGUUCCAUCUUUGCAUUUAUUGCGAUUCUUUCUCAACUACUAUUCGAAUUGGAAUAGUUUUAUUACUUCAAUGAAAUCCAUUCUUUUUUUUCAAAAAGAAAAUAAAAGACUAGUUAAAUUCCUAUAUAACUCUUAUGUAUCAGAAUAUGAAUUUUUCUUGUUGUUUCUUCGUAAACAAUCUUCUUGCUUACCAUUAGCAUAUUCUGGAACUUUUCUGGAACGAAUCCACUUUUCUAGGAAGAUGGAACAUUUUGGGAUAAUGUACCCUGGUUUUUCUCGGAAAACCUUAUGGUUCUUUAUGGAUCCUCUUAUACAUUAUGUUCGAUAUCAAGGAAAGGCAAUUCUUGCAUCAAAAGGCAGUUUUUUUUUGAAAAAGAAAUGGAAAUGCUACCUUAUCAAUUUCUGGCAAUAUUAUUUCUUUUUUUGGACUCAGCCGCGAAGAAUCCAUAUAAACCAAUUAGCAAACUCUUGCUUCGAUUUUAUGGGAUACCUUUCAAGUGUACCAAAAAGUCCUUUGUUGGUAAGGAAUCAAAUGCUGGAGAAUUCAUUUCUCAUAGAUACUCGAAUGAAAAAAUUCGAUACCAUAGUCCCCGCUACUCUCCUCAUAGGAUACUUAUCAAAAGCUCAAUUUUGUACUGGAUCGGGGCAUCCUAUUAGUAAACCCAUUUGGACGGAUUUAUCAGAUUGGGAUAUUCUUGAUCGAUUUGGUCGGAUAUGUAGAAAUCUUUUUCAUUAUCAUAGUGGAUCUUCGAAAAAACGGACUUUGUAUCGACUAAAGUAUAUACUUCGACUUUCAUGCGCUAGAACUUUAGCUCGUAAACAUAAAAGCACGGUACGAACUUUUAUGCAACGAUUGGGUUCGGCAUUUUUAGAAGAAUUUUUUACGGAAGAAGAGCAAGUUUUUUCUUUGAUGUUCACCAAAACAACUCUUUUUUCUUUCAGUGGAUCACACACUGAGCGUAUUUGGUAUUUGGAUAUUAUAGGUAUCAAUGACCUGGUCAACCCUCUUAAUUAAUCAUUAGACAAAACUAAUAAACAGGAAAGGGUUGAUAAAUGAUCAAGAAAAAACUUUCAUAUUUUUCAUUCUGAAAUGUUCCUUUUAUUAUAAUAAAGAGUAGGUGAAUCAACUUACUAAUUAAAAAAUUAGUAGAACUUCCUCUUUGGAAUAGAAUAUUGGCUAUUUCUACAUAGGGAAAGUCGUGUGCAAUGAAAAAUGCAAGCACGAUUUGGGGAGGGAUUUUUCUCUAUUGUAACAAGGAAGAAUUAUCUACUCCAUCCGACUAGUUCCGGGUUCGAGUCCCGGGCAACCCAUAUAGAAAAGACCCAUCAAAGUUUUUAACUUUUACUCACUUCAUUUACAAAUACAAAAUUAUUGGUUUGGUUAAUUUAUUUAUAUGGAUAGCCAAUCUUUGGGCUGACUUGGUUGACAUUGGUAUAUAGUCUAUGUUAUACUGUUAAAUAACAAGCCUUCUAUUAUCUAUAUUCUAGUUAAUACGUGUGCUUGGGAGUCCUUGCAAUUUGAAUAAACCAAGAUCUUACCAUGACUGCAAUUUUAGAGAGACGCGAAAGUACAAGCCUGUGGGGUCGCUUCUGCAACUGGAUAACUAGCACUGAAAAUCGUCUUUACAUCGGAUGGUUCGGUGUUUUGAUGAUCCCUACCUUAUUGACCGCAACUUCUGUAUUUAUUAUCGCCUUCAUCGCUGCCCCUCCAGUAGAUAUUGAUGGUAUUCGCGAGCCUGUUUCUGGUUCUUUACUUUAUGGAAACAAUAUUAUCUCUGGUGCUAUUAUUCCUACUUCUGCGGCGAUCGGAUUGCACUUUUACCCAAUUUGGGAAGCUGCAUCUGUUGAUGAGUGGUUAUACAAUGGUGGUCCUUAUGAGCUAAUUGUUCUACACUUCUUACUUGGUGUAGCUUGUUAUAUGGGUCGUGAGUGGGAACUUAGUUUCCGUCUGGGUAUGCGUCCUUGGAUUGCUGUUGCAUAUUCAGCUCCUGUUGCAGCUGCUACUGCUGUUUUCUUGAUUUACCCUAUUGGUCAAGGAAGCUUUUCUGAUGGUAUGCCUUUAGGAAUCUCUGGUACUUUCAACUUUAUGAUUGUAUUCCAGGCAGAGCACAACAUCCUUAUGCAUCCAUUCCACAUGUUAGGUGUAGCUGGUGUAUUCGGCGGUUCCCUAUUCAGUGCUAUGCAUGGUUCCUUGGUAACCUCUAGUUUGAUCAGGGAAACUACUGAAAAUGAAUCUGCUAAUGAGGGUUACAAAUUUGGUCAAGAGGAAGAGACUUAUAAUAUUGUGGCUGCUCAUGGUUAUUUUGGCCGAUUAAUCUUCCAAUAUGCUAGUUUCAACAACUCUCGUUCUUUACACUUCUUCUUGGCUGCUUGGCCUGUAGUAGGAAUCUGGUUCACUGCUUUAGGUAUUAGUACUAUGGCUUUCAACCUAAAUGGUUUCAAUUUCAACCAAUCUGUAGUUGAUAGUCAAGGUCGCGUUAUUAAUACUUGGGCUGAUAUCAUCAACCGUGCUAACCUUGGUAUGGAAGUAAUGCACGAACGUAAUGCUCACAACUUCCCUCUAGACUUAGCUGCUGUUGAAGUUCCAGCUAUUAAUGGAUAAGGUUUUUCUGCUAACAUAUAAGAAUUUUUGAAGAAAGAAAAGACAAAAAUACCCAAUAUCUNGCGUAUUUGAUUCCAUCCAUAAAUCGACUUUCCCUCCUAUGCUCUGAGUUCCAGUAUCGAUAAGAAUUCGAGUUCUUAUUGUUCUUAUGUUAUGGUAUGAAUAUACCAUACCAAUUCGUUAUGUAUGGAUGAUGGAUGAGAUUCCAUGGAUAGAGAGCCAGUUCCAAUAGACUUAUGGANNNNNNNNNNNNNNNNNNNNNNNNNNNNNNNNNNNNNNNNNNNNNNNNNNNNNNNNNNNNNNNNNNNNNNNNNNNNNNNNNNNNNNNNNNNNNNNNNNNNNNNNNNNNNNNNNNNNNNNNNNNNNNNNNNNNNNNNNNNNNNNNNNNNNNNNNNNNNNNNNNNNNNNNNNNNNNNNNNNNNNNNNNNNNNNNNNNNAGCAGGAAUUGAACCCGCAAAUUUACCAAUUAUGAGUUGGGCGCUUUAACCAUUCAGCCAUGGAUGCUUA